UUUUAGGCUCAGGAAGAAGCAUUUGAAUGAGAGGUGUCAGCACCCACACAGCUAGUUUGAUCCCCGUCCUUCCAGUGCUCUGUCCAAUCACCACUCAGCUAUGGAAUGAAGACAGGAUAGGAGGAAACCAGACACCUACUUGUUUACCCCCCCAGAUACAUAAAUGCCUAAACUCGUUGUCCAUGAAAAUACACUAACCCCAAACUGCAAUUGAUACCAGAAUAAUAACAACCUUAGUUUUCUGAUACUGAAUACCCAAUAUCAGCCUUGAGAAUACUUUGAUGCUUUUACGUGGAUGAUAUUCCAGGAGAGAAUGGACUAAGGAGAGAACGGACACAUUCACUGUACACUUCUCCCUAUUCUCUGCUCUUUACAAUGAACAUAUUACAGUACAGAAUGGUCAGAACUUUUUUUUUUGAGACUGAAGAGUGCAUGAUCAAUGGGAGGGUUGGACAUACUGGAGGUUAAAUAAAGACCUUGCUGGGAGUUCACCUAGGGGUCAUGAUUGGGGCUGUACCAAAUGAUUGAUGUAUUAGAAUAAUUGAUUAUGCUUAUGUUAAUAGAAGGGGAGGGGUUAUUAAGACCCUCCCUCUUUACAUGCAUAGGGUCCAAGACUACAGAUUAACUAUAUAUACACAUGAGGUUUUAAUAUUGUUCCACAGUUGUUUUCUAGUUCCCUCUCUCUGCCUCUUAUAAAGAGACCCCUCUGAGAAAUGUGUGACUGAGACAGAACUCUGCAGGGGAGUGUAGGAGAUAAGACUAGUCAGACAUUCCAUUAUAAAUCAACUUGGACAUUUACUGCUAAGAUUUUAGAUAACACUAAAAGCCUUGUUUUUUAUAGCUGUGUAGGCAUGGCGUUGGUCUCAUGAGUAAAAGAUAAUGACGUAGGCAGUGACAUCACUAGGGCUGGACUUCAGGUUUGAUAAAAUAACAUGGGACCUUUGAUGCAGAACUUACUCAGAAACAUGCGUGCUAUGUUCCUGAUUGUCAACUUCUGUCUGCAAUUGCAUUAAAGGUUUAUCAUCUUUGGGCUAGGUGGGAAGCUAGCACCCCAUCUCGACAACAUCCAGUGAAAUUGCAGAGUGCGAAAUACAAACAUUUUAAUAUUAAACAUUCAUGAAAAUA